rnacentral:rRNA from 1 species
AUUGAACGCUGGCGGCAGGCCUAACACAUGCAAGUCGAACGAGUGGCGGACGGGUGAGUAAUGUCUGGGAAACUGCCUGAUGGAGGGGGAUAACUACCGGAAACGGUAGCUAAUACCGCAUACCAUCAGAUGGGCCCAGAUGGGAUUAGCUAGUUGGUGGGGUAACGGCUCACCAAGGCGACGAUCCCUAGCUGGUCUGAGAGGAUGACCGACCACACUGGGACUGGGCCACGGGCCAGACUCCUACGGGAGGCAACAGUGGGGAAUAUUGCCCAAUGGGCGCAAGCCUGAUGCAGCCCUGCCGGGUGUAUGAAGAAGGCCUUCGGGUUGUAAAGUACUUUCAGCGGGGGGGCGUUACCCGCAGAAGAAGCACCGGCUAACUCCGUGCCAGCAGCCGCGGUAAUUC